CUCUCGGGGAUCGAAUUAUCAUGUCUCGUCGGGACGCGACAAUCGAUCCCCGAAUCGACGCUCUUACUCCACCAGCGGAGGUGGGAGUAAGUGCCAUCGACGGGGAGCCGUGGAGGUUGAUUUUGCCGCCGUCCUCACAGUGGGGUAAGUCGGCUCUGACAGGUCAAAUUCGAAUUUGAGUAUCCUAAAUCGACCCUCCCCCCCCCCGUACUGAAGACCUGCCCUUAGUUUGUUAGCAUUUGUAGUGUGCUGUUAAGUUGGUCAGAAGUCCUCAAGAGGGGAGGGGUGAGUGGGAUGGAAGGUGUUUAAACAGUGUUUUUGAUUUCUGCUCCAGCCUCGACUAUGAGCAUUCUAACCAAGGGACUGAAAACUUUAAGACAAUACCAGGACAGCAUUUCAUGGGAAAUCUGGGAUGUUUUCCUGACAAUACUGAAAGCUGUACGUUUAUCAUCUUGUCUUCUGAACCAGGUGAAUGUCACCCUUUGUGUUUUUAUACAGGCCUAUUUAAAACAUUAAAAGGUAACUUACAAUUUAUAUUUUAUAAAUAUAAUUAAUGUGGAUAUUAUAUAACAGUAGAUGGCAGUAGGUGAUUAUUGACAAAAUUCAAUCUACGAAACAUUCUGUUAUGGCAAUGCAUAGUUAAUGUACCUAUUACACAGGUUAAGAGGAAUUCUCAGUGCAUCAGUUUAUAAUUCACUUUUGUUUUCUCUUUAGGUUUCAUAUUGUCUGGCCGCUGUUGGACCACUGGCUUGAUUCUGCUGUGAGUCCUGUAUGCUCUGUGAUGGUGAUUGUCACAUAAGCCCAUGUGCUCUAGUCUAGAGCAUGAGAUCAGCCUCUAGGGCUAGACAUAGGACUAAGUUGUGGCAGGUUUUAAAGGAAAGGACAAAGAACUUGCAUUUGAUGCAGAAGGUGAGAGGAAACAAGUGAAGGAAUUUGCAGAUGGGCUGAAUGUGGUCAAAGCUAUAGGUGAGGUAGAUACGUUAUUCAGCUGAGUUUCGGAUGGAUUGGAGGAGUAUGAAACAGAAAACAGAGAGGAUGUGGGUACAGAUGUCAAGAAGACACAAGAUGAUCAAAACAUGGACAAGUGUUGGUGAUAGGAGAGGUGAAGAAUGAUCGGGUUUCUGACCUGUUUUGUAGAAUAAGCCAGCAUAAAUUAGUGAUAGUGACAAUGUUGGGGGAGAAGGAUAAAGUUUAAAACAGUUAUACUAGGUUGUGAGCUAGAGGGGUAGGGAGAAUGGUAACAUUGUUGAUCAUAGAAUCAUAGACUCAUAGAAUAUCAGGGUUGGAAGGGACCUCAAGAGGUCAUCUAGUCCAACCCCCUGCUCAAAGCAGGACCAAUUCCCAACUAACUAGAUAGUUAUGGAGAAUAAAGGAUAAGGGUUUUGGAAAAGAGAUAUAUAC
rnacentral:lncRNA from 1 species